UACGGAGGGUGCGAGCGUUGUCCGGAAUCAUUGGGCGUAAAGGGCGCGUAGGUGGCCCGGUCAGCCUUUGGUGAAAGCGCGGGGCUCAACCCUGCGUCGGCCAGGGAUACUGCCGCGGCUCGAGCACUGUAGAGGCAGGCGGAAUUCCGGGUGUAGCGGUGGAAUGCGUAGAGAUCCGGAAGAACACCGGUGGCGAAGGCGGCCUGCUGGGGAGUUUAGCUGACACUGAGGCGCGAAAGCGUGGGGAGCGAACAGG
rnacentral:rRNA from 1 species